rnacentral:rRNA from 1 species
CAAGCGUUGUUCGGAUUCAUUGGGCGUAAAGGGUGUGUAGGUGGCGCCGUAAGUCGGGUGUGAAAUUUCGGAGCUUAACUCCGAAACUGCAUUCGAUACUGCCGUGCUUGAGGACUGGAGAGGAGACUGGAAUUUACGGUGUAGCGGUGAAAUGCGUAGAUAUCGUAAGGAAGACCAGUGGCGAAGGCGGGUCUCUGGACAGUUCCUGACGCUGAGGCACGAAGGUCAGGGGAGCAAACGGG